UACGGGAGGCAGCAGUGGGGAAUAUUGCACAAUGGGCGCAAGCCUGAUGCAGCCAUGCCGCGUGUAUGAAGAAGGCCUUCGGGUUGUAAAGUACUUUCAGCGGGGAGGAAGGCGAUGCGGUUAAUAACCGCGUCGAUUGACGUUACCCGCAGAAGAAGCACCGGCUAACUCCGUGCCAGCAGCCGCGGUAAUACGGAGGGUGCAAGCGUUAAUCGGAAUUACUGGGCGUAAAGCGCACGCAGGCGGUCUGUUAAGUCAGAUGUGAAAUCCCCGGGCUUAACCUGGGAACUGCAUUUUGAACUGGCAGGCUUGAGUCUUGUAGAGGGGGUAGAAUUCCAGGUGUAGCGGUGAAAUGCGUAGAGAUCUGGAGGAAUACCGGUGGCGAAGGCGGCCCCUGGGACAAAGCUGACGCUCAGGUGCGAAAGCGUGGGGAGCAAACGAGGGAUUAGGAUACC
rnacentral:rRNA from 1 species